rnacentral:lncRNA from 1 species
CUUUGAGUGUUAUUCCAAUCAAAAGAUAGAUCGUCUCCUUCUCCUUCCCACCAAAGUGAUUUGUGAUUUGAGCAAGUUUUGAGCAAUCCCCGUGAUCUUGUUACUCUUGGAGGUUGGAGACUCAUAGGCGGUAAGAGUCUUCGGAGAGGAAUCAAACCAUUGUGAUUUCCCCCGGAAAGUUUGUGAAGGUUUGGAAGCCACCUCAAGGUUUACCACUAGUGGUUGAGAAACGCCUUCAUGGAGUUAUCUCAAAGGGAGAACAGGGUGAGCCUUCGUGGCGUUGGUGUGCCUUCGUGGUAACAUCCGCCCCUCUAACGGUGACGUAGCUUCCCUCCAAGGAAGUGAACAUUGGGAUACAUCCUUGUCUCUCUUGGAGUUUCGGUUAUUCCUAACCCUAACUCUCUACUUGUGUUAAUCCAUAUUACGUACUUGUAUUUGAUUAUUGUUUACCGCUUGCCUUACUCCACUCUAAAUAGCUUACUCCUUGUCAUAGCAAUUAUUAGGCCUACACUCAUAUUCCGCACUUUUGCCUAAAAUUGCUAAGUAAUUAUUAAAAUUUGGAACUGUACCUAUUCACCC